rnacentral:misc_RNA from 1 species
AGCAGCCGCGGUAAUUCCAGCUCCAAUAGCGUAUAUUAAAGUUGUUGCAGUUAAAAAGCUCGUAGUUGAAUUUCGGGAUCAAUAUGUUGGUCGUGCCUUGGUACGUACUGGCAUUAUCGAUUCCUACCUUCUGAAGAACCUCGAUGUCAUUAAUUUGGUGUCUUGGGGAAUCAGGACUGUUACUUUGAAAAAAGUUAGAGUGUUUAAAGCAGGCUCGCGCUUGAAUACAUUAGCAUGGAAUAAUGAAAUAGGACGUUUGAUUCUAUUUUGUUGGUUUCUAGGAUCGACGUAAUGAUUAAUAGGGAUAGUUGGGGGCAUUAGUAUUCAAUUGUCAGAGGUGAAAUUCUUGGAUUUAUUGAAGACUAACUACUGCGAAAGCAUUUUGCCAAGGAUGUUUUCAUUAAUCAAGAACGAAAGUUAGGGGAUCGAAGACGAUCAGAUACCGUCGUAGUCUUAACCAUAAACUAUGCCGACUAGGGAUCGGAUGAUGUUAAUUUUUUCAAUGACUCAUUCGGCGCCU